AAAGAAAUAGCAGAGGAGUUAAAUAACUUUUUUGCGUCAGUCUACACAGUGGGAGACACCAGCAAUGUCCCUGAAAUUCAAGAGAGCCAGGGGUUGGAAGUUAGUGGGGUGGUUAUUACGAGGCAGAUGGUGCUUGGGAAACUGAAAAGGCUGAAGUCACCUGGACCAGAUGGACUGUACCCUAGUCUUCUGAAAGAGGCGGCUUUAGUGAUUGUGGAGGUAUUGACAGUGAUAUUUCAUAAGUUCAUAGGUUAUAGGAGUAGAAUUAGGCCAUUCGGCCCAUCGAGUUUACUCCACCACUCAAUCAUGAUUGAUCUCUGCCUCCUAAUCUACAAUUUUACUUUUUUUUCAAGAAUCACUAGAGACAGGAGAGGUCCUAGAUGAUUGGAAAGUUGCCAAUAUUACCCUAUUGCACAAGAAGAAGCAAAGCAGAAUAGUGGGAUCUAUAGGUCGGUUAAUCUGACUUUGGUCUAAAAUCUUGGUAAGAUUUUAGAGUCCAUUAUAAAAGAUGAGGUUACAGAGUACUUAGAAGUUCACGAUAAAAUAGGUCAAAGUCAGCAUGGCUUUGUGAAGGGGAGGUCUUGCUUGACAAAUUUGCUGGAAUUCUUUGAAGAAGUAAAUAGGAGGACAGACAAAGAGUCAGUAGAUGUUAUUUACUUAGAUUUUCAAAAAGCCUUUGAUAAGGUGCCACACGUGAGACUGAUAAGGAAGUCGAGAGCCCACGGUAUCAAAGGGCAGAUACUAGCAUGGAUAGCAGGUUGGCUGCAUGGCAGAAGACAAAAAGUGGCAAUAAAAGGUUUUUUUUCUGGUUGGCAGCCAGUGACUAGUGACGUUCCGUAGGGGUCGAUGCUGAGGCCGCUACUCUUCAAGUUGUAUAUGAAUGAUUUGGACGAGGGGAUUGAAGGCUUUGUGGCCAAGUUUGUGGAUGAUAUGAAAAUAAGUGGAAGGUCAGGUAGUGCAGAGAAAGCAAAGAGUCUGCAGAAGGGCUUGGGAUUGUGGGCAGACAAGUGGCAGAUGGAAUAUAGUGUAGCAAAGUGUGGAAUGAUGCAUUUUGUUCAGAGGAAUAAAGGUGCAGACUAUUUUCUAAAUAGGGAGAGAAUCCAGAAAUCGGAGGUGCAUGAUGGUCGGUGUGGACUCGGUGGGCUGAAGGGCCUGUUUCUACACUGUAUCUCUAAACUAAACUUCUAUAAGAUGUAUAUUAUACAGAUCAUCCUCGUGCUCCAAAGAAUAAAGUCCUAGCCUGCCCAAACUCUCCCUAUAGCGUUGGCCCUCACGUCCUGGCCACAUUCUUGUAAAUCUUCCCUGUACUCUUUCCAGCCGAACAGCAUCCUUCCUGUAGCAGGGUGACCAAACCUGAACUCCAUUAACCAUUCGUCAGCUCACCUGCCCAACUAAUCAAGAUCCUACUACAAUAUGUGACCCAGGAUCUGCACGUGCUGGAUUCACUCUGGAACACAGCACGCUACCCAGUCUGGGUCUGUGUCCGUCACAGUCCCAGGGCUGCCACUGUUGGCCAGGUUCUGGGCCGGUCUGAGUUGGGUCACACUCAGGUUUUUAAGGAACACUGGGACCACUCACAAGUGACAAAAGAUAUGGAACUGGAGAGAUUCCCAGGGAACAGAGCCAUAAACAGGACACAGUGGAGAGUUUGUGGAUGGGUGCAGGGAGUGUUCGGGAAGGGGGCACAUCACACGUGUGGACUUGACGUGUGGGAAAUGACAUCACCCAUCACCUCGUGGGACAUGGAAAGACAAUACAGGUUCAUCACACAGCAGAGGUCGGGGACGUUGUGUACAGGUGCGAGGCCAGGAACCAGGUCAGUGAAGGCACGGCACAGAUCCGGUUGAAGGACGUCUGCAAACAGACCACAUCUGGGUUGAGUAGCUGUCUCUGUGGAUGUUGGUUGAGGGCCACGGUCGUAGCCGUCCUGCUUCUGAUUCUCAUCUCAGUCACUGUCGCCACCCACAUCAUCAGCGCCCGCCCUGUCAGUGGAACUGCAGACAGGCCUCAC